rnacentral:rRNA from 1 species
CCUACGGGGGGCAGCAGUGAGGAAUAUUGGUCAAUGGACGAGAGUCUGAACCAGCCAAGUAGCGUGAAGGAUGACUGCCCUAUGGGUUGUAAACUUCUUUUAUAUGGGAAUAAAACGUUCCACGUGUGGGAUUUUGUAUGUACCAUAUGAAUAAGGAUCGGCUAACUCCGUGCCAGCAGCCGCGGUAAUACGGAGGAUCCGAGCGUUAUCCGGAUUUAUUGGGUUUAAAGGGAGCGUAGGUGGAUUGUUAAGUCAGUUGUGAAAGUUUGCGGCUCAACCGUAAAAUUGCAGUUGAAACUGGCAGUCUUGGGUACAGUAGAGGUGGGCGGAAUUCGUGGUGUAGCGGUGAAAUGCUUAGAUAUCACGAAGAACUCCGAUUGCGAAGGCAGUUCACUGGACUGCAACUGACACUGAGGCUCGAAAGUGUGGGUAUCAAACAGGAUUAGAUACCCUUGUAGUC